UACGUAGGUGGCGAGCGUUGUCCGGAAUCACUGGGCGUAAAGCGCACGUAGGCGGACUCUUAAGUCGGUGGUGAAAUCCUGGAGCUCAACUCCAGAACUGCCUUCGAUACUGAGAGUCUCGAGUCCGGGAGAGGUGAGUGGAACUGCGAGUGUAGAGGUGAAAUUCGUAGAUAUUCGCAAGAACACCAGUGGCGAAGGCGGCUCACUGGCCCGGUACUGACGCUGAGGUGCGAAAGCGGGGGGAGCAAACAGG
rnacentral:rRNA from 1 species